GUUCCGGCGUUCCAUAGGGUUCUCUGACAAUUUUGGUCAUGUUGACUUAUUUGUAGAUCUUACUUUGCUGAACAUUAUUGUUGUUUACAGUUUAUCUCUAUCUAUAAUAGUAUUCAAGAUAAGAACCAAAAAGAGGCUCUCAAGAGCCUGUGUCGCUCACCUUGGUCUAUGUGCAUAUUAUCAAUGGACACAGAUAAAUUCAUGACAAAAUGGUGUUUUUGUGAUGGUGAUGUGUUUGUAGAUCUUUCUUUACUGAACAUUCUUAUUGCUACAAUUAUCUCUAUCUAUAAUGAACUUGGCCCAGUAAUCACAGUGGAAAAUAUUUCCUAAAAAUUUACAAAAAUUUACAAACAUUUAUGAAAAUUGUGAAGAAUUGACUAUAAAGGGCAAUAACUCCUUAAGGGGUCAAUUGACAAUUUUGGUCAUGUUGACUUAUUUGUAGAUCUUAUUUUGCUGAACCUUAUUGCUGUUUACAGUUUAUCUCUAUCUAUAAUAAUAUUCAAGAUAAUAACCAAAAAUUACUCAUUCGGGGGCAGCAACCCUACAACAGGUUGUCUGAUUUGUCUGAAAAUUUCAAGGCAGAUAGAUCUUGACCUGAUAAACAAUUUUACCCAAUCAGAUUUGCUCUAAAUGCUUUGGUUUCAGAGAUAUAAGCCAAAAUCUACAUUUCCCCUCUAUAUUCUAUAUUAAGCCAUGGCAGCCAUCUUGGUUGGUUGGACGGGUCACGGCACACAUUUUUAAACAAGAUACCCCAAUAAUGAUUGUGGCCAAGUUUGGUUAAAUUUGGCCCAGGAGUUUCAGAGGAGAAGAUUUUUGUAAAAGAUAACAAAAAUUUACGAAAAAUUGGUCAAAAUUGACUAUAAAGGACAAUAACUCCUUAAGGGGUCAACUGAUAAUUUUGGUCAUGUUGACUUAUUUGUAGAUCUUACU
rnacentral:lncRNA from 1 species